GGCACAACCAGUUAGCAGCUUACUCCAUGUGUUAUAAAUACGUUUACUGUGCUUUUGACCAGUUUCGAUCAAUUUUCAAUAAUUCUUUUGAAUUAGUAUUUCUAUAAAAUGUAAUUAUUCACAUGAUAUCCAUUUCAAGUUUACCUAUUUUACCUCACCCGCUAUAAGAAGAAAUUUGAUUGUAAUUUGAAAUCAGUUACAGUGUACUAUAAACACUGCAAGUGAACAUAGAAAAUAUAUCUUCAUAGAGGAAUUGGAAAAAAUGCUGCUGGAAUACAACCAUUUACCGAAAAUUGGGUCUAGCUACUGACAUUCAAAAAAACGACACGUGGUAAGAAUGCUUUCUCUAGAGAGCAUUCCAGACACAAUUCCGUGAGCAAAUUCUAAAGCAGUGAUGAUAAAGCAUGGUAAUUGGCUAUGUAUCUGAGCUACC